rnacentral:lncRNA from 1 species
UCUGGCCCUCCCAACAAUGACUGCAUCUGUCCCCAGUGCUGUAACACCAUUUCUUCAUUUGACACGUUAUCCCUGCUGUACGAAAACUUGGUUUGGCAAUUUCAACUUAUAGUACGAGAAAAUUGGAGAUCGAUUGUUCACGUUGGAGU